AUUGAACGCUGGCGGCAGGCUUAACACAUGCAAGUCGAGCGGGGUGAUGGUGCUUGCACUAUCACUUAGCGGCGGACGGGUGAGUAAUGCUUAGGAAUCUGCCUAUUAGUGGGGGACAACAUCUCGAAAGGGAUGCUAAUACCGUAUACGUCCUACGGGAGAAAGCAGGGGAUCACUUGUGACCUCGCGCUAAUAGAUGAGCCUAAGUCGGAUUAGCUAGUUGGUGGGGUAAAGGCCUACCAAGGCGACGAUCUGUAGCGGGUCUGAGAGGAUGAUCCGCCACACUGGGACUGAGACACGGCCCAGACUCCUACGGGAGGCAGCAGUGGGGAAUAUUGGACAAGGGGGGGAACCCUGAUCCAGCCAUGCCGCGUGUGUGAAGAAGGCCUUAUGGUUGUAAAGCACUUUAAGCGAGGAGGAGGCUCUUUUGGUUAAUACCCAAGAUGAGUGGACGUUACUCGCAGAAUAAGCACCGGCUAACUCUGUGCCAGCCGCCGCCGUAA
rnacentral:rRNA from 1 species